UAUUUAUUAGAUAACAGACCAAUAUUCCUCGUGUCUAUUGUGGUGACUCAUAGUAACUGAUCGGAUCGCAUGGCCUUGUGCCGCGACUAACCAUUCGAGUUUCUGACCCAUCAGCUUUCGAUGGUAGUGUAUUGGACUACCAUGGCUUUCACGGGUAACGGAGGAUUAGGGUUCGAUUCCGGAGAGGGAGCCUGAGAAACGGCUACCACAUCUAAGGAAGGCAGCAGGCGCGUAAAUUACCCAAUCCUGACUCAGGGAGGUAGUGACAAGAAAUAACGGGUCGGGGCAUUCGCCUCGGGAUUGCAAUGAAUCGAAUUUACACCCCUUAAUGAGGAUCAAUUGGAGGGCAAGUCUGGUGCCAGCAGCCGCGGUAAUUCCAGCUCCAAUAGCGUAUAUUAAAGUUGUUGCAGUUAAAAAGCUCGUAGUUGAACCUUGGACCUGGCUGAUCUGUCCUCCUAAUCGAGCGCACGGAUUCGGUCGGGUCUUUCCUUCUGGGGAGCCCUAUGCCCUUCACUGGGUGUAGUGGGGAACCAGGACUUUUACCUUGAAAAAAUUAGAGUGUUCAAAGCAGGCCUU
rnacentral:rRNA from 1 species